rnacentral:rRNA from 1 species
CAGCAGCCACGGUAAUACGUGGGUGGCAAGCGUUGUCCGGAAUUAUUGGGCGUAAAGCGCGCGCAGGCGGUUUCUUAAGUCUGAUGUGAAAGCCCCCGGCUUAACCGGGGAGGGUCAUUGGAAACUGGGAGACUUAGAGUGCAGAAGAGGAGAGUGGAAUUCCAUGUGUAGCGGUGAAAUGCGUAGAUAUAUGGAGGAACACCAGUGGCGAAGGCGACUCUCUGGUCUGUAACUGACGCUGAGGCGCGAAAGCGUGGGGAGCAAACAGGAUUAGAUACCCGCGUAGUCCCUGUCUCUUAUA